AUUUCAAAACUUUUUUUAUUAUUUGUCAUGAAAGGCUUUUCAACAAGUGGAUUGAGAAAGUUACAUUUCAACUCUCAAACUGUAGGGGCCUUAUGUGAAACUGAACUUGCACACAGAGCAAGGACACAAAAUUAAAAUGAGAGCACAAGAGCACCAAAUCUUCGAGAUAUUUCAUCAUAACUUGUGACCUGGUAGCCUUUUUAAAAUGAGGGAGAAAAAAAAAUGAAACAAAAUCUGUAACAAUGAUCAACUGAUCAAUGCUAAUUUUAAGGUAUUCAGCACACUGGCAUUAGGACACUGAAAAUCCAGAUUCCAAAAUGACACGGUUUAACCAUAUAAGCAAUUUCUAAACAGUAAAUGAAUAAACAUCAAACAUUUUAAAAUACUGAAAUCAUAUAGCACUUUCUACUUCAGAGCUUAGCCAUGAUGAAACCAAAAUUUGAUUCAAAUUUGCAUAGACGCCUGUACUCUCUAGUCCUCCAAAACAAUAUAAGCUACAUUUCUUAAGACCCAAACUUGUUCUCAAGACAAUGGAGAUGAUCUGAUUUCAAAUGCUAUACGUGUUCAACACAAUCUUUACCUAGAUUUGAAGCCACUCAGACAGUGAAGUGAACAUUGCAAUUGAUGAGGUCUUCUAAAACUGUAUUAUAAUGACAAUCUCUCUAGAGAUGGUUUCAUGAUUGGUUAUAUUUGGCCUCAAAAUAAAUAUCACACAAGGAUAGUAAGUCUUCAUUUAAAGAGUUAAGUUUUCAGAUAUAUUCAUAGAUUUCUCUGAUAAUGCAAUCACUAAACUACCGUUAUUUGUAUUGAUAAAGUAGGCAUUACUAUAUAGCAGAUAUUUGCCCGGUAUGGCUAAGAAACCCCUGAGCACACACUUCACACCAACACGAUUCAAAUAUUGAAUGGAAACACUCCACGCUUGGCCAAAAGAGAGAAAAAAAG